GAUGAAGAACGUAGCGAAAUGCGAUACUUGGUGUGAAUUGCAGAAUCCCAUGAACCAUCGAGUCUUUGAACGCAAGUUGCGCCCGAAGCCUCGGCUAAGGGCACGUCUGCCUGGGCGUCACGCAUCGCGUCUCCCCCAAACCGCCAAGGCGGAGGGGAAGGAAGAUGGCUUCCCGUGCCUCACCCAGCGCGGUUGGCCUAAAUUUGGAGCUCGCGACACUUAGCUCUCGCGGCGAUAGGUGGUGAACAAGGCCUUGGCCGUGCAAACAACCCGCUGCGAAGCUCUAUGUCACGUGCGCUCGUCGGACCCUUUGAUGUUGCCUUCAGUGACUUAAAACCUUUGCGACCCCAGGUCAGGCGGGGCUACCCGCUGAAUUUAAGCAUAUCAAUAAGCGGAGGA
rnacentral:misc_RNA from 1 species